rnacentral:rRNA from 1 species
CUUUUUGUUUAAAAUAUAAAGUCUAACCUGCCCACUGAUAUUUAUUAAAGGGCCGCGGUAUAUUGACUGUGCAAAGGUAGCAUAAUCAUUUGUCUCUUAAUUGGAGGCUGGAAUGAAUGGUUGAAUGAAAUAUUAACUGUCUCAUUAUUAAAAAUUUAAUAAUUUAGCUUUUAAGUUAAAAGGCUUAAAUAUAUUUAGAGGACGAGAAGACCCUAUAGAUCUUUAUAUUAAUUUAAGUUUUAAUAAUUUGAAUAAUUAAUAAUUAAAAUUUAAUUUAAUAUUUUAUUGGGGUGAUAGGAAAAUUUAAUAAACUUUUUUUAAUUAAAAACAUUGAUUUAUGAUUAAUUGAUCCAUUUAUAAUGAUUAUAAGAUUAAGUUACCUUAGGGAUAACAGCGUAAUUUUUUUAGAGAGUUCAUAUCGAUAAAAAAGAUUGCGACCUCGAUGUUGAAUUAAAGGUUAUUUCUAGAUGUAGUCGUUUAGAGUUUAGGUCUGUUCGACCUUUGAAUCUUU